UACAGAGGUCUCAAGCGUUGUUCGGAUUCAUUGGGCGUAAAGGGUGCGUAGGCGGCGCGGUAAGUCGGGUGUGAAAUCUCGGAGCUUAACUCCGAAACUGCAUUCGAUACUGCCGUGCUUGAGGACUGGAGAGGAGACUGGAAUUUACGGUGUAGCGGUGAAAUGCGUAGGAUAAUCGUAAGGAAGACCAGUGGCGAAGGCGGGUCUCUGGACAGUUCCUGACGCUGAGGCACGAAGGUCAGGGGAGCAAACGGG
rnacentral:rRNA from 1 species